GAGGCGGAGCCAGAGCGGAGACCAUGGGAGAUUGCCUACAGUGUUAGAUAUACAGCUUCGAAUUGAAAUCGGAGACGAUAUUAUGAGUCAUCUGUCUCAGUAAGAACUUGCCAUGGUGCACUGACCUUUCUCUUGAGCGAAGGCAAAACUGGCACAUGUAUCCUGUGGUGACGACUGCACAUCUAGGAUGAGCGGCACAGAGAAGCCUUCUUGGAAAAGCGUAUCCAGGAAAACAACGAGCCAAUGGGAUCCAGUCCAAGAAAAGAAUGAAGCUGGGUGUUCAUUUGUGCCAGGGAUGCCAGUUUAAGGGAGAAAAAGUCUAAGUUACUAAGCUCCAUGGUCCUGAAAUUCUCUUCUGAAAUUCUUUUAACUGGAUUAUAGAGUUACGUUUGUGAAGUUCAAACAGUUGAUCAACGUUAACAUUAUGCAAGAAUGUAAUUGCCAUCACAGCGGCUGUUUUGUCUCGUUCAAGUUUGUGUGAAUGUAAAUUUGUGUCGUCUAAAUAAUUGUUCCCCCUGCUGUGGUUGAACAGGUCUCUUUGAAAAUAGAUUUAUGUCAAGGAGAAUAAACUGUAUAAACAAGGAUGAAAUAAAAAUACAUCUGCAAUG